GACGAACGCUGGCGGCGCGCUUAACACAUGCAAGUCGAACGGAAAGGCCUGCUUUCCCUUGUGGAUUGCGGGUACUCGAGUGGCGAACGGGUGAGUAACACGUGAGUGAUCUGCCCCCAACUUGGGUAUAAGCCUGGGAAACUGGGUCUAAUUCCCGAUAGGACUGCAGGGUGGUGCCUGUGGUGGAAAACGAUUUUCUAGUGGUUGGGGAUGAGCUCGCGGCCUAUCAGCUUGUUGGUGGGGUAAUGGCCUACCAAGGCGGCGACGGGUAGCCGGCCUGAGAGGGUGGACGGCCACAUUGGGACUGAGAUACGGCCCAGACUCCUACGGGAGGCAGCAGUGGGGAAUAUUGGACAAUGGGCGGAAGCCUGAUGCAGCGACGCCGCGUGGGGGAUGACGGCCUUCGGGUUGUAAACUCCUUUCGACCGCGAGGAAGCCACCUGGUUGGAAGGGUGGUGACGUUAGUGGUAGAAGAAGCACCGGCUAACUACGUG
rnacentral:rRNA from 1 species